CGAACUUAAUCCGCGUUAACCGUGCAAUGACGUACACGUUGCACGUGCACUGAAAAAAAAAUACAAAUACAAAUAAUAAUAAUAAUAAUCUGUGAUUUUAUUUUGUGUAUCAUUAUACUGCACGAUUCUGCAGCGGUACGUUCCUGUGUAAUUAUAUUAAAUUAAUUUAGGAAAGCCCGUUCUACAAACUGUAAUUCCGUAUACGAUUUUCAACGAAUUCAGCAAUCCGGCAUAUUAUGUA